GCAGUCGAGCGAACGGAUAAGGAGCUUGCUCCUUUGAAGUUAGCGGCGGACGGGUGAGUAACACGUGGGUAACCUACCUAUAAGACUGGGAUAACUUCGGGAAACCGGAGCUAAUACCGGAUAACAUUUAGAACCGCAUGGUUCUAAAGUGAAAGAUGGUUUUGCUAUCACUUAUAGAUGGACCCGCGCCGUAUUAGCUAGUUGGUAAGGUAACGGCUUACCAAGGCGACGAUACGUAGCCGACCUGAGAGGGUGAUCGGCCACACUGGAACUGAGACACGGUCCAGACUCCUACGGGAGGCAGCAGUAGGGAAUCUUCCGCAAUGGGCGAAAGCCUGACGGAGCAACGCCGCGUGAGUGAUGAAGGGUUUCGGCUCGUAAAACUCUGUUAUUAGGGAAGAACAAAUGUGUAAGUAACUGUGCACAUCUUGACGGUACCUAAUCAGAAAGCCACGGCUAACUACGUGCCAGCAGCCGCGGUAAUACGUAGGUGGCAAGCGUUAUCCGGAAUUAUUGGGCGUAAAGCGCGCGUAGGCGGUUUCUUAAGUCUGAUGUGAAAGCCCACGGCUCAACCGUGGAGGGUCAUUGGAAACUGGGAAACUUGAGUGCAGAAGAGGAAAGUGGAAUUCCAUGUGUAGCGGUGAAAUGCGCAGAGAUAUGGAGGAACACCAGUGGCGAAGGCGACUUUCUGGUCUGUAACUGACGCUGAUGUGCGAAAGCGUGGGGAUCAAACAGGAUUAGAUACCCUGGUAGUCCACGCCGUAACGAUGAGUGCUAAGU
rnacentral:rRNA from 1 species